rnacentral:rRNA from 1 species
GACGAACGCUGGCGGCGUGCUUAACACAUGCAAGUCGAACGGAAAGGCCCUGCUUGCAGGGUGCUCGAGUGGCGAACGGGUGAGUAACACGUGGGUGAUCUGCCCCUUACUUUGGGAUAAGCCUGGGAAACUGGGUCUAAUACUGGAUAGGACCAUGCUGUAGGUGGUGUGGUGGAAAGAUUAGUUUCGGUAAGGGAUGAGCUCGCGGCCUAUCAGCUUGUUGGUGGGGUAAUGGCCUACCAAGGCGUCGACGGGUAGCCGGCCUGAGAGGGUGGACGGCCAGAUUGGGACUGAGAUACGGCCCAGACUCCUACGGGAGGCAGCAGUGGGGAAUAUUGCACAAUGGGCGCGAGCCUGAUGCAGCGACGCCGCGUGGGGGAUGACGGCCUUCGGGUUGUAAACUCCUUUCAGCCAUGACGAAGCCCUUGUGGUGACGGUAGUGGUAGAAGAAGCACCGGCUAACUACGUG